CAGGCAGGAGUCGGGCAGCGGUACUGCAGCUCCUCUGGCAGCUUUGCAGCUCAGUUGGGAAGCAGAAGAUGUGGAUGUGAAAGAAGAAGUCCGUUGCUGGGACGUUCCCCUGUUGUUCCCCCAGCUGUCCCCUUGCCUCAGCCUGGAUUCCCCUUGCGUUCCUGUAGGAUUCCCUUCCAUCCCCCUAGCUGCCCCUUGCUUUCCCCAAGGCUGCCCUUUCCUUUUCCAUGACAGCCCACCCAUCAUUCCCUCAGAGCCCAUAUAUCCCUCCCAGUGUUUCCCAGCAAGACCCCUAGAGACACCCUGUAGCCCCCCACAGAGCCCUGGAGCCCCUCAAGGACCCCCUCAGACGCAGUACACCUCCCCCGUAACUGGCCCAUACCCACAUGGAGCCCCACAGUCCCCAGCAGCACCCCAUGUCCCCCACUGGGCUUCCCCGGAGUCCUCCUAUUUCCUCCCUCAGACCUCCUUUACACCUCCAAGAUCCCCCCUGGGAACUCACUGGGAACCCCCAUGUUCCCUGACAGGACCCCCAUCACCAUCCCAGGACCCCCAUAGCCCACCUUUGGCCUCUCCUCCCCCCGACCUGCCUCCAGAUCCCGUACAACCUCACAGUGCUGUGGCAGGGCUGGCUUCGGCAGGUGAGGAAUGAGGAGCUGGAGAAGGUGUAGGGCACAGAUGUGGGUGCAAGUGAAGUGGGCGGCACUGGGGAUACUGGGGAACACGGAUCAGAACAUGGGAGGAUUUGGGGAGGAUAAGGGGAUGUGGACCACAGCCUACAGGAGCAGAGUGCUUCACAGGAGAAGGCGAGGUGUGAGGUACAGGUGGGACUUGUGGGUGCAGAGACAUGACGUGGCAUGGGUACGUGGGGGGUUUGGGGGCUCGUGGGGAGCGGUUUGGGGUCAGAACGGAGGAUGUGGAGUAGUGCUGGAGUGCAUUCAUUGAUUUCUUCCUGAGAGGGGAUUGGGGUUCCCUGCAGCCCAAAGGUGGAGCCCUGAUCCAUAACCCCACAUGAGCCCAGUACCACAUACUACUCCGCGUGACCCCGAGGCUCCACAUGUCCCAUAACCCUGUGAGCACCAUAACCCC
ensembl:lncRNA